AGGAUUUGGGCCAAAAUCUGUCUUUGCAAGUCAAGGUACUUACAUUAACAAGGUCGAAUGGUUUAUUUUUGUACCUGAGAUGGAAGCUCCCACCAAACAAUUUUGCCCCUCUAUGUAAAAGAAAAGAAAAGAUGGCCAUAUGAUGAAUGGGUCCUUUUUAUUGAGAAAGGUGUUAUCAAAAUAUUCUAAAUAAAAUAAAAUAAAUAAAUAUGUCAUAAGUUAGUUACCUGAGCGGGAAUUAACUUACUCUUGUGAACCCUAGGCCAACCCCCAUUCAUCACUUUUUGUACUGUUUUCCAAGUUUCCCCCGAACAAACAAUAUACACAGAUAUCAUACCAAGCAAUGACAGAGACAAUCAAAUUAGCAAGUGUCAAGAUGUCAUUCGGAACAACAGAAACCAUGAGACGAUCAUACUUUGAACUAGAGAUGGACACAAACCUCAGUUCGGAGUCAUGCUGGUUUGUACGUGUGGCUUGUGGUGCCGCAUGUUCCCUUCUACCACCUCUGAAUAGCUGAAGCGGAGGAGAAGAGGAGUGCACUCUGACUGGUGAGAAGGACAUUGGCCUGGGAGGCAGGGAAAGUGGCAGGAACCCCCGAACUAAGGUUCAUGCCC
rnacentral:lncRNA from 1 species